UCUUAACUUGAUGACAUCUCAAAGAUUCUGUUUCCAAAUAAGGCCACAUUCAUAGAUUCUGGGAAGACAUGAAUUUGUGGCUGUACUAUUCAACCCACUAUAGCAACUAAGUUUGUCAAAUUGGAGUAAGAACCUGUCACCUUUAUAAUGGCUAAAGCUUCCCUAAGAGGCAAGGACUCUUAAUUAUCUUCAUUUUACAAAUGAUAAAAUGGAAGCUUAAAGUUUGCUCAAGGAAUUGCCAACAGGAAGUGAAAAAGCCAGGACUAAAUCCAGAUCUAUCAGAGUGCAAUGAGGAAGCUGUAGCAGCUGGAAGCUCCAGAGAGGAGGGGGCUCAGAGUCUGCACAUCAAUGGGGAGACAUCAUUCUGGCUGCAUUAUGAAUGGAUGGUUUGGAGGAAGAAUGUGGAUAGCUAAACAAGAAGGAGAAUAGAAAGAAACUACUCUUAAGACUAUUGCAAUAUCCAGUGUUAUCUCAGGACCAAGGAAUUAAUGGUGCAAUGUGCUUUGUUUCUGACUGCAGACUAUAAUGUUUAUUCCUAUUGGGGGCAGAGCAAGAUUUCAGUUUCUUUUCUCAGCAACAAGAAAAUACUCUGUCUGAAAUCAAGCAACUUCUGGGAAGACCAAGAGUGAUGGAAACUAGAGUUACAAAGCAAAAACCCUACAUCCUGAAUGCCCAGCCCGGUCAAUGAAAUUUUU
rnacentral:lncRNA from 1 species